rnacentral:lncRNA from 1 species
AACACAGAAGAGACCUCUGUGGCAGUUAAAGAAGAAGUCCUGCCUAUCAAUGUGGGGAUGCUGAAUGGAGGCCAACGCAUUGACUAUGUGCUACAGGAGAAGCCUAUUGAAAGUUUUAAUGAGUAUUUAUUUGCUUUACAAAGCCAUCUAUGCUACUGGGAGUCUGAAGAUACAGUAUUGCUCGUCCUCAAAGAGAUCUACCAAACCCAGGGUAUCUUCCUUGAUCAGCCUUUACAGUAAAAAUGACCCAUCUAUGGCUGCUUAAUUUGUGACUGCAGCUCUUCUCCCACUUUCUUCCCUAGACGGACAUUGAGGGAUCCUUCCCCAGAAAAUCCACCUGUUUGUUGCUGCAAUUUUCCUCUCCUCAGCUGCGUCAUUUCCUGCAUGUUGCCUGCCACUUACUCACCACUGGGGUCUUUGGAAGAUAAUCUUCCUCUUUGGAAAUGAAUGGAAAAGCAAAAGGCCCUAUUACUUUUAACCACUGGCUUCAUAUAAACACUUGCCAUUUUUUUCUGCAUAGCUGGGGGUGGUUUGUGUCUUUAAUUCUUUGAUGAUAGUUUAUAGUUGCCACACUUUAUUGAUUAGUACUUGACAGGGUGUAAAG